CCUACGGGAGGCUGCAGUCGAGAAUCAUUCACAAUGGGGGAAACCCUGAUGGUGCGACGCCGCGUGGGGGAAUGAAGGUCUUCGGAUUGUAAACCCCUGUCAUGUGGGAGCAAAUUAAAAAGCUAGAACCACAAGAGGAAGCGACGGCUAACUCUGUGCCAGCAGCCGCGGUAAUACAGAGGUCUCAAGCGUUGUUCGGAAUCACUGGGCGUAAAGCGUGCGUAGGCUGUUUCGUAAGUCGUGUGUGAAAGGCGCGGGCUCAACCCGCGGACGGCACAUGAUACUGCGAGACUAGAGUAAUGGAGGGGGAACCGGAAUUCUCGGUGUAGCAGUGAAAUGCGUAGAUAUCGAGAGGAACACUCGUGGCGAAGGCGGGUUCCUGGACAUUAACUGACGCUGAGGCACGAAGGCCAGGGGAGCGAAAGGGAUUAGAUACCCUAGUAGUC
rnacentral:rRNA from 1 species